AUUUAUAUACAUGAAAAUAUUCUUCUCUAAUUCAAAUAACAUGUAAAAUAAGAAUAAUGUGUUUUUAUGCGUUAUGAUAGAUUUGGCAUGCAUGGUAUGACCUGGAUGAAGUAUGGGUGAUGUAUAUUUAUAUUGUUGUGGAUAGAAUUUUGGGAGUAAAUAUUUAGAGAUUUACAAUUUGAGAUAUAUGGUAUAUACGAGGGUUUCCUUGUUUGGAUUAUUCCCUCGACGUACUCAUCUCUCAUGUUGUGGGUCUCUAAAUCUUAUCUCCUUUUAGCAUAUGGUAUAAGGUAUGUGCUUAUGGUAGACCUUGUCUGAUAUCCAUGUUUAGAAACUUCUUUUAUCAUCUUUAAUUGAGUUUCAUCGUAUUUUGUUUAUAAGAUAGCCUUUUUCUUUUAUCACUGAAAUUUUAGAAUUUAUCUUUUCUUAUUAUCUACCACUUAUAGUUGCACGUGCACAAUUUCCUCAUUUUACAUGCUUGCUGGGAGUUUUCUGACUCCCAUGGGGUUUGCAUACCCCAGACUUGGGAAUUGUCCUUUCUUCGCAGGACCAAGAGAACUUUAAGGAUUAAGACCCGUGACAGUGACCACCUUCUCUCUCAGCUUCAAUUAUUGAGUCUUUCUUGUAAUCACUUGUGGUACUCGAGACUAAGAUGUAUUUUCCUCCUUCCUACUUUGAAUAGUUGUGGACAUGAUGAUCCAGAGGCGUGAAUGUAACCGUAUGGUUGCAUUGCCGACCGAGUCAUGCUCCAAAUUAUCACGUUUUGGACUCGGGGCGUGACAAGGUUUUAUUGGUAUCAGAGCCAGGUUUACAUAACUGGACUCUCAUCCUGUACAUAACUAUUGGAGCUUUUAAAAUAGGAAUAGGAGUCUGAGCAUGUAUAAUAUUAGGCUCGUUCACCCUUGCAAUAUAUUUUUGUGCUUACUCCUUUGAUUCUGCAUACAAAUUCAUUUCUAUCUUAACAGUUAAUUCUUUUUUUUCUUCUCAAGCCAAGUGUAUCCAAACUUAGUCAAUGAGCACAAAUUGGUUUUUGACUACCCUCAAGCUUCAUAAGUUAAGCUAGCAUGAAAGUUUAUCCAGCCAUUAGCCCUCACCUUAGCAGCAACUAUAAGUUCAUGAAUGCUUGUUUUUUUGGUGAAGUUAUCUCGACCAACGGAUCAUCUAAAUCAAAUCAUUUAGCUCUAGCUAGAUCAUGCGACUGAACUUGGAUAUUCUUUAUGUGCUAACCAAUCAGGAUAUUAGUAGACUUGAAAACUUUUUAGUUACCUCCAGCUAGAUAGACUAGUAUCUUAGCACCGUUAGGUCAUGUGAGAGGAAUGUUUUUUUUUUUAGCUUAACUUGAGGUAGAUAUGCAUGUAAGGCAAAUCCAUCUGGUGACGUAUGUGCAAUUGAUUAUCUAGAUUAUAAAUUCUGAAUGUGGUUCAUGCUUGAUAAUAUGCAUGGUAUCCAAGAAUGAGAAAUCAUGUGGAUGAUAUUGAGGGUAUAUGUUGGAAACUUGAUUUUUGUGAGAUAACAGCCAUAUAAAUUUAAGUAUUUGAUUGAAGAUAUUGUAUGAUUAUGUACCCAAUAUAUGAUCGAGAUAAUACAUGAUGCUUGAUAUCUAGAAAGAUAUAUUAAUACUUGAGAAGUGCCACCGAACCAUGGUUCCAACCACAUGUCUAUAAGUUUAAGAAAUGCAAGGAAAGGAAUUUCAUGAAAGGUCUCAGGAUAAGAUAUACCAGUUUUAUAUUAGUAUCGAAUUAUCUUAUGAUAUGCAUGUUUAUGAUGCCAUAGUGUUGAAUGUCAAGCGAUUCCUUCAAGACACCAUUGUAACAUUGAUAUUGGGAUACAUGGUUUAGUGAGAGGGGGCUCGUGAUCUUCCUCCACUGGAUUGUGAUUGGUGGUGGUCCUAAGGGUGACGAUCCUUAGGACCAAACUUGGGAAAAAAAUUGGUUUACAUGUAUCACGUCUUGACUGAUCUCGCAGGGGAUUCAUACUAUGGAGAGUCAUUCCAAUAACCUUAUGGUAUGUGGUAUGAGAUAUAUACAACGACAAUCUAGAUUGGGUAUCAUAUCUAUUUAUUUCUGAUAGAGCAUUGCUUCUCGUGUGCUUGGAUUAAAUUCCGAGGACGGAAUUUGUUUUAAGGAGGGUAGGAUGUAACAAUCAAAAUUUUUCGAUACGUAUUUAAUUAUUAAAUUGUUAUUUUUCAAAGAGUAUUAAUGUUUACCUAAUCUCUAUGAUUUUUAGUAAUGUAUAAUAAUAGUGGUUAUUAAUUUUUGGGAAAUUAUAAUUACAAUUGUUAUGAUUAUGUACAUAGUAUUUAGUUGAUAUUACUAAUAAUUGGUUAAUAUUAUUAAUUGUUUAAAUUAUUACUAUAACGGUAUUCUUAUGUAUAUGGUAAUAUAUCCCCAAAUCUCGUUCUCUCUCUCCUCAAAAAUUCCCACGUUCAGCACACUCUCUCUCUCCACUCAUCUCAUUCUCAUUUAUUUCCCUCUACACUAUUUUCCUAAACGGCCAAAUCUCCCAAAAUAUCUCCAUCUCCUUUAAUCACUCCCCAAAAUCACGUUAUCUCUCCUCUUAAUACCUUCUCUCUCUCUCUCUUUUCAUCCGGUUCUCUCUACUUCCUCCCCAAGAGAACUCUGACCACCCAAGCCCACUCCGUCCAACUCCCCAACCCGCCGCCUUGGAGCCUCCACCGAGCCGCCUACUCCCCCCUUUCCUUCGCCGCUUCUAGCCGACAACCGCUGUCCCCUCCUGAACCCCGCAGUCAACCCCAACGCCCUCUUCCACGAACUCUGACCAAGCCCUUAGCAACCGCACCGCCGUCCACAGGCAAAGCCCCUGAACUCCGACCAGGUCCAAACCCAACCGAGGUUUUCACCGCCGUCCCUCCAUCACCACGACCAGCCUUCGCUCACCAGCAGCCCCUGGUGCACCCAAACCCGCGCCCUCUCUCCACCUCCAUCGCACGCCACAUGUUCGACAAUAAGCCAACACAGAUCCAGUUGUAGAACCGCACACCAACAACCCCAUCGAACCCGUUGAGCCCCUCAGUGAUGACAACCAUCGUCGUCGCCGUCCCCAAACAUCGCCAUCACCCUCUAGACGGCAAGCAUUUUUGUCUUGCUCUUUGUUGAAUUCGUUCUCAUUAUUAUUAUGCAAGCAUUCAUUUUCUCAAUUAUUAUUAUUAUUAUUAUUAUUUGAUUUUCCUCCAUGCAAGCCUUUCUAUCCUUUUAGUAUUUCAUAAUCAGCUUAUUAAAUUAGAAAUAUUUUCUUUAUAGGGAUCAUAAUGAAUAGUUGCUAGAUAGUUCAAACACUUUUAUUUAUCUUAAUAUGGAAGGGACAAUCCGAGAUCCUUUAUGCAAUAUUUUAUAGAUAUCAUCUUUAUCUUUCUAAUUACCUCUCAUUUAUUUCAUUAGAAUAAAUAUCCAUAGUAUGAUUAGAAUAACUUGUGUUUUGUGUAUGUGUGAUCUGUCUAGUUUAUAUGCAUAGUGUUUGACAAUUUUAGUUUAGGAAAUAUAACAUUUGUGAUCUGGAACUUAGGUAGAGUAAUUGGAUUUUUUUUUUAUGCGGAAAUGAGGCCAAGCGUAAUAUAGGUAUAGACUUAAAAAUUCAUCCUUUUUAUAAAUAUAUGCUUCACAGCUUUCAAAUUUUGCACAAGUAUCCUAGAUGAUAUUAGACACAUUUAUAUGAACAUUCUGGAAGCUAAUUUCCCCUACUUUACAGUGAUCGGAAAGUCAAAAUUGGAAAAGAAACUGGAAAGUAAUUGGAAGUGAGAAAAAGUAAUUUGGCACACGAAAAAAAAAUAUAAACUUCAAUUGAGCCUGUAAUGAAAUGCAACGCCAAACUAAAGUUGGUUUAUUUGUUUCUGAUAUCAAAGAAGUUUUGAGGUGAAUUAGUUGUCUAAGAUUGUUUGGUUUAUUGAGCUUUGGAUAUUACAGUGAUGGUUGCUUAAAGGGGAAUGUGUAGCCAAAUAGGGAAAAUGCUGGUAGGUAUUACAAAGAAGUCGGAUUUGGCUGAUAAUUUUAUGUAAUAUGGAAGAUUCGGGGAUUUAGAAAUGUAGUCGUA